AUCCUGGCUCAGGACGAACGCCGGCGGCGUGCCUAACACAUGCAAGUCGAACGGGGUUAUAUAAGAAGCUUGCUUUGAAUAUAACCAAGUGGCGGACGGGUGAGUAACGCGUGAGGACCUGUCUCCGGCAGGGGGACAACAUUUGGAAACGGAUGCUAAUACCGCAUAAGCCGAGAGGUGAAAGGAGCAAUCCGGCAGGAGAGGGACUCGCGUUCUAUCAGCUAGUAGGCGGGGUAAAGGCCCACCUAGGCGAAGACGGA
rnacentral:rRNA from 1 species